GAUUGUCGCAAGCCAUCCUUGGGCUGUGUGUGACCUGGGCGCAACAGAGCUUUAUGAGGGGACAGGUCUGGAGGUGGAGUCUGCGCUCUCGGAUGUGAGGGUCAACUGUAUUUUGAUUCCUUCAUUGAUUUUGUAAUAUUCUGUAAUAUUGUGUGAUAACAGUAAAGCUUACCUCAAAGGACCUCAUACUAUCUCCAUCUUAGACUUCAGUCACUUUCUGUCUACAGUGGAUGAACACACCAUCCAGCCCCCCUACAACUCAGCUAACUGGGCUGAGCCUGGAAGUGCGCCUCUCCUCUGGCUCUGCCUGUGAUCGCACACAGCACCUGGGAUGGGUGUGACUUGCCAAGGUAUCAGUCAAUCUGCUGACCAAGACAUUGCAAAGCAAAACCCCACCUUUGAAAUCUUACCCCUGCCUUAUUUGGUGAGAACAUUCCAUCCAAUCUCCUUUAUGGGUCCCCCUAUAAAAAUAAAGGGAUUCCGGGUGCACGCUGUCUUUCCUAGCCCACCCUCGGGGUCGCAGAGCCCUACCUCCAUCAGAGACUCAGUUCCGUGUGUUGCGUGAUUUCUUUGCCCUUUUCUUAUCUUAGGGUUGCAGCCAGCUCUUGGGAGCCCUGUUCAUCUCAUCAGGGCGGGCAGCUGGCGAGGGCUGGUCAUCUCAGUUCUGCUUCUGGCGAGGUGGCUGCUGGAAACUUCUUAUCUCUGGAGGGCCGACUUCCACUGCUGGCUGCUCGGGAUGUGUCUCUGUCGCCUCUGCAGGAGGCACCUCGGUUCCCCGGUUCCCUGAGGAACCCCCUCCUCUCAGCGAUGAUGGUGACAUGUCUGCGUGUCUUCGAGGCUCUGCUGUGCAGAGCCACUGCAGGCAUCUGGAACAGGAGGCUGCAAAUCUGGUCCCCAGUCUUGAAGGGGGACGAGAGGUUAGCAACCUUAGCCCAGCCACUGGGACUGCUCUGCCGUGGGACCACGGGGCCUUUGCUCAGCCUCGCUCCCUGGUGUUUCACCAUUACCACAUGCUCGGCAGUUGAGACAUGUGAACCCCAGAAAGGCGACCUAAGUUGGUGACCAAAAGAAUGAGCUCAUUCAGACCACUGCCUCUUCUUAACCGAGAAAGUUACCUAACCUCUCUGAGCCCAUUUCCUCAUCUGGAAAAUAGAAUGAUGAUAACAUCCUAUUUCAUCAGGAUAUUGUGAGGGGUAAGUUAAUCUAUGUAGAGCUUGAAAAAUAUUAGUCAUCUACAAUUAAGGGGACCAAGUGUACCAGAUUGGUGGGAUUGAGGAGUUUCUGGAGACAUGGAAUUUUUAGUAUUAAAGUCAGGUAAGGAGCGGAGCGGGAGGCCGGACCCGGGAGCCGAGCGGCGGUGGCGGUAAUGGCGGAGCUGGUGCAGGGACAGAGCGCUCCGGUGGGCAUGAAGGCCGAGGGCUUCGUGGACGCCCUGCACCGGGUCCGGCAGAAAGCCACAGGACUCACUUGUGUUAGAAGGCCUCCACUCCAGAGCUUGAAGAUGUGGUCUUUCGGUCUCUUUCCAGUAUUCCAGGGGAGGCAUCCUGUCUGUCUCCCACAUACUGACUUUUCAUGUUAAUAUUGAUGCUCCUGUAGACAUUAUAUUGGAUCCCAGAACUUUCCAAACCUGUGGUUUCACCUAAAAUUUUGUCUGACUAAUUGUUACUUACUGCCCAGGUACCAACUGUUACUGUAGUAUCUCCAUCUUAGACUUCAGUCACCUUCUGUCUACAGUGGAUGAACAUACCAUCCAGCCCCCCUACAACACUGCUUGCUACUUUCCUCUGCAGUACAGGGUCCUCGACCUUGUUUCUCACUGGCUACUAAUAUGUAAUGCCUAUCACUCUGUGCUGAUAUGUGACAAUCACCUUGUUGGCCUUCUGUGUCCUGGAAGAAUUGUAGCCACUACCUUAAAGAGCUCAGAUCCUCAGUUUGCAGAAGGCCUGUAAUUGAACAUAAAAUGAUUUUGAAACAUUGCGAAGACUUUCUACUUCUCUUGAGGCAGUGGUUGAACUCAUACUCUCGGACAACCUGCUCAAGAGGGAGACUCUCAGGUGUUAAAUGCUGACUUAAUGUGGAUUGUUGAAGCAGUGCUGUUUACUACUAGCAGUGACACUUCAUUGGAAUUGUUCUCAGCUUUGAGAUGCACCAUUGACUGGAGCCAUAAUAGCCCAAUGGAGCCAGGGCUGUUAAGUGUGUUCCUUCUGAAUGUUAUCAGCUGGAGGUCCAUACUAUCUUCAAGGAUUUGAUGGCCUUUAAAAACUAAAGAAAAAAAAACAGGUUUGUGGGUAAUUUUAGGUUUAUUUUACAGUUCGUAUUGGGCAAGAAUGGAAUGUUAGAAAUCUGUAAUAUUGUGUGAUAACAGUAAAGCUUACCUCAAAGGACCAUCUGGGUGGUCAUGGUUUUCCUUCUCCAUAGUAUAUAUAAGCAUGUUGCAGAAACUUGAUCCCCUUGCCCCCCAGCAAGUGGAAAUAGAGACAGUAUAUUUCUUUAUGUGAGUGACUAUAGACCUCCCGCCUCUUAUAUGUCCUUGUAAAUACCAGCGACUGUAGGACCUUCAUACUUUUGUUAAGAAAGUUGUAAGCUGGGCCGGGGAUGUGGCUCAAGCGGUAGCGCGCUCGCCUGGCAUGCGUGCGGCCCGGGUUCGAUCCUCAGCACCACAUACAAAACAAAGAUGUUGUAUCU